CUUAAGCAUAUCAAUAAGCGGAGGAAAAGAAACCAACAGGGAUUGCCCCAGUAACGGCGAGUGAAGCGGCAACAGCUCAAAUUUGAAAUCUGGCUCCCUAGGGGGUCCGAGUUGUAAUUUGCAGAGGAUGCUUUUGGCGAGGCGCCGGCCGAGUGCCCUGGAAUGGGACGCCGUAGAGGGUGAGAGCCCCGUACGGCCGGACGUCGAGCCUCUGUAAAGCUCCCUCGACGAGUCGAGUAGUUUGGGAAUGCUGCUCUAAACGGGAGGUAAACCCCUUCUAAAGCUAAAUACCGGCCAGAGACCGAUAGCGCACAAGUAGAGUGAUCGAAAGAUGAAAAGCACUUUGAAAAGAGAGUUAAACAGCACGUGAAAUUGUUGAAAGGGAAGCGCUUGUGGCCAGACUUGCGCCCGGCGGCUCAGCCGUCCCUCGUGGGCGGUGCACUCCGCCGGGCUCAGGCCAGCAUCAGCUCGCUGCUGGGGAGAAAGGCGGUGGGAACGUGGCUCUUCGGAGUGUUAUAGCCCGCCGCCAUGCCCUCCAGCGGGCUGAGGUUCGCGCCUUAGGGCAAGGAUGCUGGCGUAAUGGCCAUCAGCGACCCGUCUUGAAACACGGACCAAGGAGUCGUCCUAGCAUGCGAGUGUUCGGGUGCCAAACCCCUACGCGAAAUGAAAGUGAACGGAGGUGAGAGCUUCGGCGCAUCAUCGACCGAUCCUGAUGUUUUCGGAUGGAUUUGAGUAGGAGCAUGCUGGGCCGGACCCGAAAGAAGGUGAACUAUGCUUGGAUAGGGCAAAGCCAGAGGAAACUCUGGUGGAGGCUCGCAGCGGUUCUGACGUGCAAAUCGAUCGUCAAAUCUGAGUGGGGGCGAAAGACUAAUCGAACCUUCUAGUAGCUGGUUUCCGCCGAAGUUUCCCUCAGGAUAGCAGUGUUGAGCUUCAGUUUUAUGAGGUAAAGCGAAUGAUUAGGGACUCGGGGGCGCUAUUUAGCCUUCAUCCAUUCUCAAACUUUAAAUAUGUAAGAAGCCCUCGUUGCUUCGGUGAACGUGGGCAUUCGAAUGUAUCAGCACUAGUGGGCCAUUUUUGGUAAGCAGAACUGGCGUAUGCGGGAUGAACCGAUCGCGAGGAUAAGGUGCCAGAGUAGACGCUCAUCAGACACCACAAAAGGUGUUAUCACAUCUUGACAGCAGGACGGUGGCCAUGGAAGUCGGAAUCCGCUAAGGAUCUGUGUAACUAACUCACCUGCCGCAAUGUGAUAGCCCCUGAAAAUGGAUGGCGCUCAAGCGUCAUCUACCCAUACCUCGCCUUCAGGGUAGACACUAU
rnacentral:rRNA from 1 species